ACAAUGCGGAACUUCUGUUUUGCAAUUGGAUUGAGAACAACGCACAACACUUAUCAAUAAACAAUUGGAGGGCAAGUCUGGUGCCAGCAGCCGCGGUAAUUCCAGCUCCAAUAGCGUAUAUUAACGUUGUUGCAGUUAAAAAGCUCGUAGUUGAAGUGAAGUGUGAAUCUCUUGGAUUUUCGUUUGAAUUUCCUUUAGCUUCAUACUCUUUCCAAAUAGUUUGCAUGGGUAUUUACUUAUCUGUGUAUUGCAUUUGGUCAUUUACUGUGAGAAAAUUAGAGUGUUCAAAGCAUACGUUUGUUUGAAUACAUUAGCAUGGAAUAAUUCGAAAAGGCUUUCAUGUUCGAUUUGAUUGGUUUGUUCGUGAAGGCAAGAUUAAAAGGGACAGUUGGGGGUAUUCAUAUUCAAUAGUCAGAGGUGAAAUUCUCGGAUUUAUGGAA
rnacentral:rRNA from 1 species